UCUUGGAAGUCAAUGAUCUGUUUGUGUGACAGUCCAGACACAUCAAGAUGGUCCCUCUUCCAUAUCUGCUCUGUGUCCUUUAUCUUUAUACAGAAGCCUCUUAUGGAGAGAUUGUGAUGACGCAGACUCCACAAUAUAUCGCAGUGGCUCCAGGAGAGAAUGUGAACAUAAACUAUAAAUCAAGUUCUGAUGUUACUUACUCAGAUGGUGACAGUGGAAUAUUUUGGUUCCAAAUGAAACCAGGUCAGCCCCCAAAACGUCUUAUCUAUUAUGCAACCAAUCGUGCAUCUGGAGUCCCGGAGAGGUUCAGCGGCAGUAGAUCGGGAUCUCCGUACAAUGAUUUUACUCUGACAAUCAGUGGAGCUCUGGCAGAAGAUGAAGCCGAGUAUUACUGUAUGCAGAGCAAGAGCACCCCACUCACACAGUGA